rnacentral:rRNA from 1 species
UACAGAGGUGGCAAGCGUUGUUCGGAAUUACUGGGCGUAAAGGGCGCGUAGGCGGCCUUCUAAGUCAGACGUGAAAUCCCCCGGCUUAACCUGGGAACUGCGUCUGAUACUGGAAGGCUUGAGUGCGGGAGAGGGAUGUGGAAUUCCAGGUGUAGCGGUGAAAUGCGUAGAUAUCUGGAGGAACACCGGUGGCGAAGGCGGUCUGCUGGGGUCGAACUGACGCUGAUGCGCGACAGCGUGGG